rnacentral:rRNA from 1 species
UACGAAGGGGGCAAGCGUUGUUCGGAGUUACUGGGCGUAAAGGGCGCGUAGGCGGCUCUUCAAGUCAGAUGUGAAAGCCCCGGGCUUAACCUGGGAACUGCAUUUGGGACUGGAGGGCUUGAGAUCGGGAGAGGUGAGUGGAAUUCCCAGUGUAGAGGUGAAAUUCGUAGAUAUUGGGAAGAACACCGGUGGCGAAGGCGGCUCACUGGACCGAUUCUGACGCUGAGGCGCGAAAGCGUGGGGAGCAAACAGG